UUCCCACAUUCUUGAAAGUCUGUUACUGUGGCCAUAGACACUGCCCGAGGGAAACUUGGUGGAAUGAGUGGAGAUUGGUCGGGACAUGUCUAAGGAGCCAGGUAGAAAACAACCAGAGCAUUGAAGCAGGUACCUUGCACAUGCCGUCUCCUGGCAGUCACUGCUGUAUCUCCAGUCUCUGUGCAUUUGCCUGCUCUGAACAUCUCAGAAAAAGGGAAGCAUACAACAGGUGGCUCUUCUGCCUGGCUCCAUCCGGUUAUAAGGUUCACCUUUGUAGCACGCGACAGUACUUUGCUCCUUUCCAAUAAUCAUUAUAGAGAUAUGUUACAUUUUUUUUUAUCCACUCACAAGUUGACGGACAUAGUGUUGUCUCUACUCUUUAGCUGUUAUGAGCAAUGCUGUUAUGAACCUCGAGGAACAACAUGAACGUGUGUUUUCAGUUCUCCUGGGCAUAUGAAUGGGUCACACACCACGUUUUACUUCUCAGGGGACUGACGGGUUGUUCCCAAAGCAGCUGUGCCACCUGCCAUCCACACACCAUGGAGGUCUGAAAUCUACAUCCUCACAAGCACAUGAUGUUGUGUACAGUUGUUACAAUAGCCAUGCCGAUCGGAUUGUCAUUUUUAUCAUGGAUUUGUAUGAAUGACAGAGAAGAACGCAAUUUACCAUGGCCCGGGUGGGCAGAGAGCAUGAGUAGAGAAUGUUAACCACGGAAGCCUUCCUGGAGGAACUAAUGUCUAGCAUGAUCCGGAAGAGCUCUUCCUCCCCCAGUGAGACACAGACCCAUGGACUUACAGCAGCCCAAGCAGCCACUGCCACAGAGAGCCCAGAGAGCUGUCUGAGACCACAAUACAAAGCACCUUCCCCCUUCCUGGAAACAAAGCAAGAUAAAAUAUGGACUUAAACCAAACAAGCGCCAUCUCUUCUCUCUGGCCUCGUUCUCUCUGUUAAGAU
rnacentral:sRNA from 1 species